rnacentral:tRNA from 2 species
GGGCCGUUAGCUCAGUUGGUAGAGCAGCGGACUCUUAAUCCGUUGGUCGAAGGUUCGAGCCCUUCACGGCCCACCA